rnacentral:rRNA from 1 species
CAUGGGUAACCUACCCUCGAGUGGGGAAUAACUAGCCGAAAGGUUAGCUAAUACCGCAUACGAUUCCCGGACUUCGGUUCGGGAGGGAAAGCGAUACCGUGGGUAUCGCGCUCUUGGAUGGGCUCAUGUCCUAUCAGCUUGUUGGUGAGGUAAUGGCUCACCAAGGCUUCGACGGGUAGCUGGUCUGAGAGGACGAUCAGCCACACUGGCACUGCGACACGGGCCAGACUCCUACGGGAGGCAGCAGUAAGGAAUAUUGCGCAAUGGACGAAAGUCUGACGCAGCGACGCCGCGUGGGGGAUGAAGGUCUUCGGAUUGUAAACCCCUUUCGGGAGGGAAGAUGGAAUGGGGUAACCCAUUUGGACGGUACCUCCAGAAGCAGCCACGGCUAACUUCGUGCCAGCAGCCGCGGUAAUACGAAGGUGGCAAGCGUUGUUCGGAUUCACUGGGCGUACAGGGAGCGUAGGCGGUUGGGUAAGCCCUCCGUGAAAUCUCCGGGCCUAACCCGGAAAGUGCAGAGGGGACUGCUCAGCUAGAGGAUGGGAGAGGAGCGCGGAAUUCCCGGUGUAGCGGUGAAAUGCGUAGAGAUCGGGAGGAAGGCCGGUGGCGAAGGCGGCGCUCUGGAACAUUUCUGACGCUGAGGCUCGAAAGCGUGGGGAGCAAACAGGAUUAGAUACCCUGGUAGUCC